rnacentral:rRNA from 1 species
UACGUAGGUGACAAGCGUUGUCCGGAUUUACUGGGCGUAAAGAGCGCGCAGGCGGUCGAUCAAGUCGAGUGUGAAAGCCCCCGGCUCAACUGGGGAGGGUCAUUCGAUACUGAUCGACUCGAAGGCAGGAGAGGGUAGUGGAAUUCCCGGUGUAGUGGUGAAAUGCGUAGAUAUCGGGAGGAACACCAGUGGCGAAGGCGACUACCUGCCUGUUCUUGACGCUGAGGCGCGAAAGCUAGGGGAGCAAACGGG